rnacentral:hammerhead_ribozyme from 1 species
AUCCAUCUGACGAGUCCCAAAUAGGACGAAACGCGCGUCCUGGGU